CAAGGACGAACGCUAGCGGCGGGCUUAAUACAUGCAAGUUAGGGGUUCAGCAAUGGACACCGGCGGACGGGUGCGUAACACGUAUGCAACCUGCCCUUUACUGGAGGAUACUCCGGAGAAAUUCGGCACAACACUCCAUAUACUCAUACUUUCGCAUGGGAGAAUGAGGAAAGGUUACGGUAAAGGAUGGGCAUGCGUCUGAUUAGCUAGUUGGCGAGGUAACGGCUCACCAAGGCGACGAUCAGUAGCUGGUCUGAGAGGAUGAUCAGCCACACUGGCACUGAGAUACGGGCCAGACUCCUACGGGAGGCAGCAGUAGGGAAUAUUGGUCAAUGGGCGAAAGCCUGAACCAGCCACGCCGCGUGCAGGAAGAAGGUCCUCUGGAUUGUAAACUGCUUUUGCCAAGGGAUAAAGAGAGGCUAUACGCCUAAAUGAAGGUACUUGGUGAAUAAGCCACGGCUAACUACGUG
rnacentral:rRNA from 1 species